UACGUAGAAGACUAGUGUUAGUCAUCUUUAUUAGGUUUAAAGGGUACCUAGACGGUAAAUAACACUUAAGUAGAGUACUUAUUUACUAGAGUUUUAUGUGAGAAGGAAGAACUUCUGGAGUAGUGAUAGAAUACGCUGAUACCAGAGGGACUGGUAGCGGCGAAGGCAUCCUUCUAUGUAAAAACUGACGUUGAGGGACGAAGGCUUGGGUAGCAAGAAGG
rnacentral:rRNA from 1 species